rnacentral:misc_RNA from 1 species
GAUGAAGAACGUAGCGAAAUGCGAUAAGUAAUGUGAAUUGCAGAAUUCAGUGAAUCAUCGAAUCUUUGAACGCACAUUGCGCCCCUUGGUAUUCCGGGGGGCAUGCCCGUUCGAGCGUCAUUACACCACUCAAGCCUGGCUUGGUAUUGGGCGACGGGGUCUUCACCCGCGCCUCUAUUUCGUUCGGCUGGACGGUUGGAAUCUCAGCGUUGUGAAUCAAUUCGCUCACGAUGAAGACCGUUCGCGCCGUUAAAAUACUUCUUUUUUUUAAGGUUGACCUCGGAUCGGGUAGGGAUACCCGCUGAACUUAAGCAUAUCAAUAAGCGGAGGA